rnacentral:rRNA from 1 species
CUCUCGGCAAUGGAUAUCUCGGCUCUUGCAUCGAUGAAGAACGUAGUGMAAUGCGAUACUUGGUGUGAAUUGCA